UAUAUAUAUAUAUAUAUAUAUAUAUAUAUAUAUAUAUGGUAUUCCGAUGUAUUUGUGAAUUUUUUUCACACACAUCAUUUGGUAGCCAAAGGUUUCUUUAACUGAUCUCAUUUGGAACCAGUAGUGCUAUACAGAAUAACUGACUGCCAUAAGAUGGGGUCUGCUAUAGUCAUGCUUCAGUGAAAUACAAUUUCCCCACAAAAGGACACCCUGGAUCCAACAUAGCUUCUUUCAGCAGUUUUUUUUUAAUAUGUAAAGGCUUUCAAUCAUAGCAUUAACCAUGAUAUAUAUGAUCAUGAUCGUUUUAUAAAUGAUUGAUGAUGGUAGAUUUCAAAUAUAGCAAAAGCAUGCUAUUUUAUCGCUAUAUCUCAUGAAAUAAUAAUCAUGAUAAUAGGUGUUUUGUUUUUUUUUCUUUUCUUUACAUGAUUUCAGGUGCAAUAUUAAUAAAUACAUAAUGUAACAUUCAUCCUAUCACACUUGCUAGUAAAACUGCUGUCCAAGAGCAAUAUUUUGAGUAACUUUAAUCUGCAUUAUCAAAUCAUCAUGCUUAUUUAGCUUGGUAUUUCCAGCACAAAUGAAUUUUUAAGCUACUUAAGUUUUUUUUAUGGAAAAGCCAGGUGUCUCAAUUGUAUGCUUCUGCUAGCUAGUGACAAGUUAAUUUUAUUCUAGGUCAGCCAAAAACUUUGAAUUAAUUUGCCAAUCGAAAUUGUUACUUUAUUAUUAAAUGGAAAGAGCAAGUACACUUUCGUUAGGGAGAACUUUAACUUUGCCCAUUGAAUUUUUCUACCCCUAAGAAUGAUAUAAAAAAUUUAGAUGACUUCAAAAUGUUGAUGAUUUUUACAUUAUUUUGUUAGUUAAUGUAUUUACAGUGCCUUUUCAAUGAUGUAUGGUUUUAAAAUGUUAAUAGGAAAACAAGCUUGUAUAACAGUAAUUUUUGCAGUCUGGAAAAUCCAUGAAUUCUUACAUUGUUUUUGAAUUUUUACAACUUUUGAAAUAAGUUUUUGAAGUUUUGCUUGUUUUCAACCACUGGCAUUAACAAUUUAAAUGUGCAAAAAUCUGUCUACUCUUAAAGAAGGUUGUAAUAACAAUCUUUUAUGUUAAAAAAAAUAUGAAAUUUUAAUGAAUAACGAUUGUUUUUUAUCUCGGGCUUCAGCAACAUUAUGAAAUUCAUGGAUUUCCUAUUUUGUACAAUAGAAAAGUGUUCCUUGUCAUCUCCUAAUGUUUUAUACUUUUAUUAAAUGUUAGCUGAUGUGACUUUAUCAGUUAACUAUACCAG
rnacentral:lncRNA from 1 species